rnacentral:rRNA from 1 species
GAUGAACGCUGGCGGCGUGCCUAAUACAUGCAAGUCGAGCGAACGGACGAGAAGCUUGCUUCUCUGAUGUUAGCGGCGGACGGGUGAGUAACACGUGGAUAACCUACCUAUAAGACUGGGGUAACUUCGGGAAACCGGAGCUAAUACCGGAUGAUAUUUUGAACCGCAUGGUUCAAAAGUGAAAGACGGUCUUGCUGUCACUUAUAGAUGGAUCCGCGCUGCAUUAGCUAGUUGGUAAGGUAACGGCUUUCCAAGGCAACGAUGCAUAGCCGACCUGUGAGAGGGAUCGGCCACACUGGAACUUAGACACGGUCCAGGCGCCUACGGGAGGCAGCAGUAGGGAAUCUUCCGCAGUGGGCGAAAGCCUGACGGAGCGACGCCGCGUGAGUGAUGAAGGUCUUCGGAGCGUGAAACUCUGUUAUUAGGGAAGAACAUAUGUGUAAGUAACUGUGCACAGCUUGACGGUACCUAAUCAGAAAGCCACGGCUAACUACGUG